UACGUAGGGUGCAAGCGUUGUCCGGAAUUAUUGGGCGUAAAGAGCUUGUAGGCGGUUUGUCGCGUCUGCUGUGAAAUUUCGGGGCUCAACCCCGAACUUGCAGUGGGUACGGGCAGGCUAGAGUGUGGUAGGGGAGACUGGAAUUCCUGGUGUAGCGGUGAAAUGCGCAGAUAUCAGGAGGAACACCGGUGGCGAAGGCGGGACUCUGGGCCGAUACUGACGCUGAGGAGCGAAAGCGUGGGGAGCAAACGGG
rnacentral:rRNA from 1 species